AAACCAACAGGGAUUGCCCCAGUAACGGCGAGUGAAGCAAGCUCAAAUUUGAAAUCUGGCCCCAGGCCCGAGUUGUAAUUUGCAGAGGAUGCUUUUGGCGCGGUGCCUUCCGAGUUCCCUGGAACGGGACGCCAUAGAGGGUGAGAGCCCCGUACGGUGGACACCAAGCCUUUGUAAAGCUCCUUCGACGAGUCGAGUAGUUUGGGAAUGCUGCUCUAAAUGGGAGGUACAUUUCUUCUAAAGCUAAAUAUUGGCCAGAGACCGAUAGCGCACAAGUAGAGUGAUCGAAAGAUGAAAAGCACUUUGAAAAGAGGGUUAAACAGCACGUGAAAUUGUUAAAAGGGAAGCGCUUGUGACCAGACUUGCGUCCGGUGAAUCACCCAGCUCUCGCGGCUGGGGCACUUCGCCGGCACAGGCCAGCAUCAGCUUGCCGUCGGGGACAAAAGCUUCAGGAACGUGGCUCCUCUCGGGGAGUGUUAUAGCCUGUUGCACAAUACCCUUCGGCGGGGGGACGCGCUCCGCAAGGAUGCUGGCG
rnacentral:rRNA from 1 species